ensembl:lncRNA
AGAACAUCUAUGGAUUCUAAAAGACUACGGAGAGAAUCAGAGAGAGCACUACACUGGUCAAUUACAGAACCUGGAUACUUCUAUUUGAAAUGUGAACAUCAAGAGGGUGGCACGCCUGUGGGCAUUUAACCUAGGCACAUUGUUCCAAGUUGCGACUUCUGCUUGUUGAAAAGAUACAAGUUUCAUAACUACCUUUGGAUAAAGACAGCAUGUAUGUAAUAGAUUGUAUCUGCCUGGCACCAAAAAAGGCUACUCCCAGAGUACAUGUAGAUGUUUCCCCACCAACUUUACAAGGAACCUGGUGGCAGCUGGGUUUCACAGAAUUAAUGUCUGUAGAAGAAGCCAGAGACAUAAGGUCAUAAAGACCUGGAAGGACCCAACUGGAGAAGUCUGUCACCAUUGUCUACUGGGAGAUUUCAUCUAAAUAAACGUGUUCCAGAGGAAAGGUGUGCUCUCCCCACGCUGCGCAGGACCCUUCUGAGUGCUGGUGAUCAUUGAGAAAGCUAAAACGAAAUGAAUACCCAGCUGGAUUCAUGCUUCCCACAUGAAUCCAGCACAUUAGGAGGACUUGGCUGUGGCUUCCACAAAGUACUUGAAACCUGGUGCUGAACUCAACUGAAAGGAGUAUUCUAAAGAACUUACUACAGUUCUCAUAUUUUACCUUGCUCUGCUAUUCACACUGAUGGCUACUUCAAUUACUUUAAGGAUAUUUUAGUAGGAAAAAAAUGUCUAACUUGUUACACUACUUUUUCUUCUUGUACUCCCAAGUAAUGAUUCCUAUAUGUAUUGAAGGGAAGAACUGGGUACCGAGACUGCGACUAUACCAGAAAAGAUAGAGAGAUGCUGUUGCAUAGAAAAAACUUCAAAUUAGUAAACAAACAAAUGUGGAAUUUAUAGACUAAGGCUGCAAAAGACAAAUCUACUGUCACUCAAGUCACUUUGGGAUCUAAGUUCUCUCCAGUAAAAGGAUAGGUAGAUAAACAAAGGUGGUUUCCUAUUAUUCAUAGAGUCAUAAUUAUCUAUUAUUAUAAUAUAGCUAUUGAUUUUGACCAAUGUGAAAAAUGGCCCAUAGGGUGUGUUUGUCCUAAUGACUUCAAGUCAUUAGAGCCAUGUAUCUUAAACACUAGAAUUGCAAUCUGUUCACUUCAACAAUUGCCUCAUAUUAAGACUUUAAGACUGGAUAAUGGCUGUGCGUGUCUUUGUGUUUCACAUCUGGCAAAAGCUAUUUGGGAAGAGAGAAAAAUUACCGAAGUACCUAGAUUAGUGUGUAAAUGUAAUAUUACUUAUGUGAUUGAUGAAAACUCAUGAGAAAAUUUAUUGGGCUUUACAAGAAAAACCCUUAGAUAAAAAUUCAGAUUAUCAAGCUCCAGAGUCAAGCAAUAAAGACAUCACAAGAGUGUGUGUAAUUAAUGUAUGAAAAAGGACAAUUUCAUCAUAUUGCUAAUCAAGAAUCUGCUUUAACCAUUCAUUAUUAGUAUGAGAUACUUAAAGGUAAUUCUCCCAAGGGAAAAAUUGUACUGAUAUUUGAAAAUUCAUCCUAUUGUAAUUCUGACAAUUGCUUUGCUUUGUAUUUUAUUAAGAACUUGCUACAUAUUUAGACAGAUUUCUCUGUAAUUGCCCAGACAAGGUAGAACUAGCCAUGGAAAUAACUUAAAGAAUUGUAGCGUUGCUGUCCAAUAGGAACAAAUAGGAGACAUCAGAAGGGUAAAUACUAAUCUAAAAAUAAUAAGAAAUUUUACAUGUUCCUAGUGCCAAAGAAAAAGAGAACUAAUCUUCUCUUUUCUUUUACCAUUUUCCCUAAAAGAAAAACUACUGUAUCUGUGAGUCAUUUCUCUAUAGAGAUGUAUGCAAUUUUCUAAAGAAGAUAAAUGAGUCUCUUGGCAGCUUUGCAUUCCAGGGGUGUCUCUCUUGAGGGACUUGGGAUAUGAACAUCAAGGACGGUGGCAACCUGUAAUCUACUCUCUGUGGGAGUUUAGCUGAAGCACUUGGCUCCAAGUUAUAACUUCCGCUUGUCAAAAAGUUACAAGAAGUUAAUACAGUUGCAAAAAUAAAUUCAUUUUCUGAAACUGAAACCAAUAAAUAGGAUGAAAAUGCAUUUUAGAACAUUGACCGUGUUUACAAGAAUAAAUCAAUAGCACGGUACUUUCCUUCUUAACAUACUGACUCUCAUUACGCACCAUUGGACCCACUUCCACUAUUGGGUUUUCCAAAUACCCAUAAAUAUCAGUAAAU